CUCUGGUGCUUCGGCCCCGGCUCCCGGCCGCUCCGAGCCUUAAGGUGCGGGACUGCGUACUGCCCUCCCGAAGAGGCAGCUCCAGAUUUUUUCAGUCCGCAUCCCGAGCCCGAGUAAUUCCCCGAGGGGAGAGCCCAGGAGGGCGAGCGUGAAUUCACCACUCCAGUAUCACCACUUUGGGGUAAAACACCCCAAAUGAGGCCAUGAAUAGUUGGACAAGACUGAAAGUGGUUGAACCACAACACAUGCCAGGCAUUGUGCCAAACACUUAUUUGAUGUUUCCAACAACCCUGUGAGGAAUAAUAAAGUGGAGGAAUUCCAUGGAGACUGGAACAACCUCCAGGAAGUGAUGCAGAGCGAAAGGAGCAGAACCAGGAAAACAUUGUACACAGAGACUGAUACACUGUGCUACAAUCGAAGGCAAUGCCCUGAAGUUCCUUCUACAUUGUGCAAAAAAUCUCCUAUUGACCUGCAAAACUAAUGAUUUUUUUUUAAAGGGAGUGCUGUUGUUUGUCAUUCUGUUUCUAUUACUCCCUAUGUGUCUUUGCUCAAAAAAAAAAAAUCAUUUCUGAUUUUUGUAAGGCAUGUUGAUCUGCCAGAACUAUUUCCAAUCAUUAUCUGCCAAAUCCUGCCUCAAUCAGGAGGCCUUCCCUUAACCUCUCAGAUUAAAGUUUUUCUAUUCCUA